GCUUUUCUGUGUGGCACAUAUCGUCAUGACAUGCACUUUCGUGUUGUGCUGUUAGUCUGUAACCAAAAGAUUUUUAAUUCUACGGUGCAUAUAGAUGAAAAUUCACAUCCCUCUGACAAACCAUACCAAGCUUAACGAAUAAAAAAAACCUAAACAAAACAAAACAAAAAACAGAGCUCCGUUUAAUUUCUCACUCUUUCUUAGUGUAUAUUUAUUGCUUGAAUGAUUUCAAAUAGGUUUGAGUACUCAUGUACAGAAAGGAAAAAAAAAAAAAAAAAAAAAGGAAAAAAAAAUUCAACAAGAGAACCUUUCUAAAACCGAACAUGAGACAAACUUGUGCAAUCCCUUUAACAAAUGCGUUUGUUUUUACAGUGAUCAACACAAAUCGGUGAAACAUGCAGAAUUACUGAAGACGAGGAUGAUGAUGAUGAACAUUGAGGUGAAUUCACAUUCAUAUGCAUAUGCUUUAACUGUAGUGAUCGCUCUAGCUCGCUGCAGAAAUGAGAUUCCCCCCCCCACAAAACAGAUGAUUUAAGUAUGCAUAUCUUGAAAAGCCCCUGAGAAAAAGAAGAAUUAGUAACCACCCAUUUUAAUUAGACAUGCAAAAAAAAAAAAAAAAAAUUUAAUUCACUACUCUACUUCUAAUUCAAGCUCGGGCUUCAAUAAUAAUAAUAAUUAUAUAUUUCGUUAAUGCACGUGUGUAUCUGUGGGGGCUGAUUUAAUUUAACUGAAUUAAUGCAAGCAAACAGACAAACAAAAACAAACAAAAAAAAAAGACAUUAAUAAAACAAUCUAUGGCAAAUAGCUCACGGCGUCAUAAUCAUAGACAUAAAAUAAGUGAUAUAAUAUAAAGAACUUCAAGAUUGUUCAGCGCUACAGUCAUUGUUUCCGAUUCUCCUCGGCGUUCAAACGGGAGUCCACCUUAGCUCCGAUCACUCAUAUCAAUAAAUACAUAAAAUAUUCAGUGUGUUCUCCUUAUCUUUGACAGACCUGCGCAUACACACUAUACACUACAAGCAAGCGCACACAUUUCUCAAAACACACCAUAGUAGAAAAAUGAUUUGUUUUUCCGCAAAUUCAAAUCCAACCCUGUACUGUACGUGAACAGUUUGGCCUUUGAAGGGUUAAAGUUUAAAGACUGACUUGAUCGAUACUCUUGAAUUGUGUUACUGUUCAUUUGGAAGGCAUGUGCGGAUAUUGUGUCGAAAAUGAAAUUAAGCUUUUUUUUUUUUCCUCCCCAGGCAGCAUUAGAAAUCCUAUUCUUAAGUGCUGCCCAAAUACCAAUUUUGCGAUAUGUUGUAAAACCGAUUAUCAGCACAUGUCGGUUGCAUAGUUUUUGGCUCCGAAAUGCAGCAUUUCGUUGUUGAUCAUCUGAGUCUUAAAGAUAAACUUCAUUCAGCUAAUUAGAGGUUUACGAGGUUAGAUUUGCUAACUGCAGAGGUACUAAAGAGACGAGUAUGAAAAGGUAGAAGGCAGUGUGAACAGCACAGUUGUAUAAGUCGAGGCAAACAGCAGGGCGAUUUCAAGUAUAAAACCCACAGCACAAACAUCACUGCGCUAAAACAUACAAUAGACUCUGAUUCACAUUGGGAUUAAAUGCAAUGUGUACUGCGAAGCACACUUCUGUCUGAUGCAUCGUGUGUAAUAACCCUGGCUCGAGUUCAAUCGUGCUCAAGUCUGAAAUAGAAAGUGGACCAAAACGUCCACUGGAUCCAUCAAGUGCAUCGAACACGAUGAAAGCAGAUCAUACGGAUUUGUAUUCUUAUUUGGAAACUCUUCCAUCCUUGCCAAUUUUUAAACCAAGCGUACAUAAUACAAGCUUUUGCCUAAAGGCAGUGUCUGAAUGUCAGGCUUUAGACCCCAAACCACCAGGGGGCGCUGUCUCAACCACCAGUUACGUUCUAUGUUCAACACACCGCAGGGCUGGAGAGCAUCGUUUAUCAUUGAGAGAAGAAAAAAAAAAUGUACAAAAACUGGCAAAUAUUGCCAAAAAACAUUGACCAAUGAUCACGCAAACUGAUAACCAAAAGUAUACUAGGCCACUGCGUGAACCAAUGACACCUCCAAAACCUAACGAAGCCUAUUCAGAACAAAAAGGUUCAGAGAGAUAG
ensembl:lncRNA